UACGGAGGGUGCAAACGUUGCUCGGAAUCAUUGGGCGUAAAGCGCACGUAGGCGGCCUGAUAAGUCGGGUGUGAAAGCCCUGGGCUCAACCCAGGAAGUGCACUCGAAACUGUCAGGCUUGAAUAUGGAAGAGGGUCGCGGAAUUCCCGGUGUAGAGGUGAAAUUCGUAGAUAUCGGGAGGAACACCAGUGGCGAAGGCGGCGACCUGGGCCAAUAUUGACGCUGAGACGCGAAAGCGUGGGGAGCGAACAGG
rnacentral:rRNA from 1 species